UACGUAGGGUGCAGGCGUUAAUCGGAAUUACUGGGCGUAAAGCGUGCGCAGGCGGUUUGCUAAGCGAGAUGUGAAAUCCCCGGGCUUAACCUGGGAACUGCGUUUCUAACUGGCAGGCUUGAGUGUGGCAGAGGGGGGUGGAAUUCCACGUGUAGCAGUGAAAUGCGUAGAGAUGUGGAGGAACACCGAUGGCGAAGGCAGCCCCCUGGGCUAACACUGACGCUCAUGCACGAAAGCGUGGGGAGCAAACAGG
rnacentral:rRNA from 1 species